UAGGGAAUCUUCGGCAAUGGACGGAAGUCUGACCGAGCAACGCCGCGUGAGUGAAGAAGGUUUUCGGAUCGUAAAGCUCUGUUGUUAGAGAAGAACGUUGGUAGGAGUGGAAAAUCUACCAAGUGACGGUAACUAACCAGAAAGGGACGGCUAACUACGUGCCAGCAGCCGCGGUAAUACGUAGGUCCCGAGCGUUGUCCGGAUUUAUUGGGCGUAAAGCGAGCGCAGGCGGUUCUUUAAGUCUGAAGUUAAAGGCAGUGGCUUAACCAUUGUACGCUUUGGAAACUGGAGGACCUGAGGGCAGAAGGGGGGAGUGGAAUUCCAUGUGUAGCGGUGAAAUGCGUAGAUAUAUGGAGGAACACCGGUGGCGAAAGCGGCUCUCUGGUCUGUAACUGACGAUGAGGCUCGAAAGCGUGGGGAGCAAACAGG
rnacentral:rRNA from 1 species